CACCAGCCCCUCGAGUGGUGGGGAUGAUUAUUUGGCCUAAAGCGUCCGUAGCCGGCCGGGUAAGUUUCCCGUUAAAUCCAACGUCUCAAGCGUUGGACCGCGGGAAAUACUGCCUGGCUAGAGAGUGGGAGAGGUAAGCGGUAUUCUGGGGGUAGGGGCGAAAUCCUUUGAUCCCCGGAGGACCACCAGUGGCGAAGGCUGCUUACUAGAACACGUCUGACGGUCAGGGACGAAAGCUGGGGUAGCGAACCGGAUUAGAUACCCGGGUAGUCCCAGCUGUAAACGAUGCAUGCUAGGUGUUGGGUUGGCCACGAGCCACCCCAGUGCCGCAGGGAAGCCGUUAAGCAUGCCGCCUGGGAAGUACGAUCGCAAGAUUGAAACUUAAAGGAAUUGGCGGGGGAGCACCACCAGGCGUGAAGCCUGCGGUUU
rnacentral:rRNA from 1 species